rnacentral:rRNA from 1 species
UAGGGAAUCUUCCACAAUGGGCGCAAGCCUGAUGGAGCAACACCGCGUGAGUGAAGAAGGGUUUCGGCUCGUAAAGCUCUGUUGUUAAAGAAGAACACGUAUGAGAGUAACUGUUCAUACGUUGACGGUAUUUAACCAGAAAGUCACGGCUAACUACGUGCCAGCAGCCGCGGUAAUACGUAGGUGGCAAGCGUUAUCCGGAUUUAUUGGGCGUAAAGAGAGUGCAGGCGGUUUUCUAAGUCUGAUGUGAAAGCCUUCGGCUUAACCGGAGAAGUGCAUCGGAAACUGGAUAACUUGAGUGCAGAAGAGGGUAGUGGAACUCCAUGUGUAGCGGUGGAAUGCGUAGAUAUAUGGAAGAACACCAGUGGCGAAGGCGGCUACCUGGUCUGCAACUGACGCUGAGACUCGAAAGCAUGGGUAGCGAACAGGAUUAGAUACCCUGGUAGUCCAUGCCGUAAACGAUGAGUGCUAGGUGUUGGAGGGUUUCCGCCCCUCAGUGCCGGAGCUAACGCAUUAAGCACUCCGCCUGGGGAGUACGACCGCAAGGUUG